UACGGGGGGGGCAAGCGUUGUUCGGAAUUACUGGGCGUAAAGGGCUCGUAGGCGGCCAACUAAGUCAGACGUGAAAUCCCUCGGCUUAACCGGGGAACUGCGUCUGAUACUGGUUGGCUUGAGUGUGGGAGAGGGAUGCGGAAUUCCAGGUGUAGCGGUGAAAUGCGUAGAUAUCAGGAGGAACACCGGUGGCGAAGGCGGUUCUCUGGGCAUUACCUGACGCUGAGGAGCGAAAGUGUGGGGAGCGAACAGG
rnacentral:rRNA from 1 species